UACGUAGGUGGCAAGCGUUAUCCGGAAUUAUUGGGCGUAAAGCGCGCGUAGGCGGUUUUUUAAGUCUGAUGCGAGAGCCCACGGCUCAACCGUGGAGGGUCAUUGGAAACUGGAAAACUUGAGUGCAGAAGAGGAAAGUGGAAUUCCAUGUGUAGCGGUGAAAUGCGCAGAGAUAUGGAGGAACACCAGUGGCGAAGGCGACUUUCUGGUCUGUAACUGACGCUGAUGUGCGAAAGCGUGG
rnacentral:rRNA from 1 species